rnacentral:rRNA from 1 species
GAUGAACGCUGGCGGUGUGCCUAAUACAUGCAAGUCGAGCGGACAGACGAGGAGCUUACUCCUCUGACGUUAGCGGCGGACGGGUGAGUAACGCGUGGAUACCCUACCUAUAAGUCUGGGAUAACUUCGGGAAACCGGCGCUAAUACCGGAUAACAUGUUGAACCGCAGGGGGCAACAGUGAAAGACGGUCUUGCUGUCACUUAUAGAUGGAUCCGCGUCGCAUUAGCGAGUUGGUCAGGUAACGGCUUACCAAGGCAACGAGGCGUAGCCGACCUGAGAGGGGGAUCGGCCACACUGGAACGUGGACACGGUCCAGACUCCUACGGGAGGCAGCAGUAGGGUAUCUUCCGCAAUGGGCGAAAGUCUGACGGAGCAACGCCGCGUGAGUGAAGAAGGUCUUCGGACCGUAAAACUCUGUUAUUAGGUAAGAACAAAUGUGUAAGUAACUAUGCACGUCUUGACGGUACCUAAUCAGAAAGCCCCGGCUAACUACGUG